AAUGGAUCAUGGCUCAGAAUCAACGCUGGCGGCGUGCCUCAGACAUGCAAGUCGAACGAUUAAAGCCCUCUUCGGAGGGUGUAUAAAGUGGCGCACGGGUGAGUAACACGUAAGUAAUCUACCCUCGGGUGGGGAAUAACAACCGGAAACGGUUGCUAAUACCGCAUAAUGCAGCGGCUCCUUAUGGAGACAGUUGUUAAAGGAUUUAUUCGCCUGAGGAGGAGCUUGCGGCAAAUUAGCUAGUUGGUAAGGUAAUGGCUUACCAAGGCUACGAUCUGUAGCCGGUCUAAGAGGACGGUCGGUCACACUGACACUGAAUAACGGGUCAGACUCCUACGGGAGGCAGCAGUCGGGAAUUUUGGGCAAUGGGCGAAAGCCUGACCCAGCAACGCCGCGUGAAGGAUGAAGUAUUUCGGUAUGUAAACUUCGAAAGAAUAGGAAGAAUUAAUGACGGUACUAUUUAUAAGGUCCGGCUAACUACGUGCCAGCAGCCGCGGUAAUACGUAGGGACCAAGCGUUGUUCGGAUUUACUGGGCGUAAAGGGCGCGUAGGCGGCAUGACAAGUCACUUGUGAAAUCUCUGGGCUUAACUCAGAACGGCCAAGUGAUACUGUCGCGCUAGAGUGCAGAAAGGGCAAUCGGAAUUCUUGGUGUAGCGGUGGAAUGCGUAGAUAUCAAGAGGAACACCUGAGGCGAAGGCGGGUUGCUAGGCUGACACUGACGCUGAGGCGCGAAAGCCAGGGA
rnacentral:rRNA from 1 species